CUACGGGCGGCUGCAGUGAGGAAUAUUGCACAAUGGGGGGAACCCUGAUGCAGCAACGCCGCGCGGAGGAUGACGCAUUUCGGUGUGUAAACUCCUAUUAUAUGUCAAGAAAACGACGGUAGCAUAUGAAUAAGCACCGGCUAACUCCGUGCCAGCAGCCGCGGUAAUACGGAGGGUGCAAGCGUUACUCGGAAUCACUGGGCGUAAAGGACGCGUAGGCGGGUUGGAAAGUCAGGUGUGAAAUCCUACAGCUUAACUGUAGAACUGCACUUGAAACUUCUAAUCUAGAGUAUGGGAGGGGGAGAUGGAAUUAGUGGUGUAGGGGUAAAAUCCGUAGAUAUCACUAGGAAUACCUAAAGCGAAGGCGAUCUCCUGGAACAUUACUGACGCUAAGGCGUGAAAGCGUGGGGAGCAAACAGGAUUAGAUACCCUCGUAGUC
rnacentral:rRNA from 1 species